AACGCUGGAAAAACUAAGUACUACACAGACAAAAGAAUGAGGCAGUCUGCAAAACUAACCCCAGCACUUGGGGAAGGGGACUUGUCUCCCCUAAUACACACCAUGAAACUCUCCACUUUAAGAGGAGCCAACUGCUCGUUACUUCUCUGACUCGAACCGAAACCCGUCCCAGGAAUGGAGGGACCAAGGAGGAGAGCGGCACAGACUGCGAUUCCUGAGUGAAGGCUGAGUCUCCAGGGGUGACAGCUGUAGAGGAGGUGAGCAACCCCCAAGCCACUGCCAGAUUGGCUGUCCCCUAAGCUUCUCCUGUAGCGCUGAAACUUUAAUCACACUGGCCCUUCCUUUGAGGGGAAAUGCUUCAUCCAAGAUGGCUGUCUCACCUCUGGAAGGAGGCCAGGCAGCUGCUGUCUUGGCUGCAGUAUCAAGGAGUCUUGGUUUCUCUGAGGGGUAUUGUGAAGGGUCCUCCUCGAACUGCAUGUGGUCCACUUACCCAGGGAGGAAGUAGCAGACCCUUCUCUCUGGAAACACAGACCUCUGUUGUAGAUGUAGUUACUGCAAGGAGAGUUGGUGGGUGUGGAUGUCCAGCGUGGAAGUGGGAGCUUUGUGUUUGAGUAAUAGACCAUUAGCUCUCUGGAGAGAAAUACUCCAAUUAACAGAUGGUCCAAGAUAGGAGGAAAACAUUCUGACAUAAAUUCAAGUAAAAGUGGAAUCAGCGUUCUUGUGAAACUGUAAUCAAAGAACUAUUUAUUGGUUCUACUGCCUGAAUUUAAGUAGACUAGUAAAAUGACCUCAAAAUCAAUCCACAAGUACUUAUAAGGUAUCUACUGUUUGCCAAUACCUCUCCAGUCUCUUUUCUUUAGAAAUGUGUUUGUACUCCAGAUCAGAGGCCAUCAAACUAUGGCCUUUAAGAUAAAUUUAGCCACAAUUUUAUCAAUAAA